GUGGGGAAUUUUGGACAAUGGGCGCAAGCCUGAUCCAGCAAUGCCGCGUGCAGGAAGAAGGCCUUCGGGUUGUAAACUGCUUUUGUACGGAACGAAACGGUCCUGGUUAAUACCUGGGGCUAAUGACGGUACCGUAAGAAUAAGCACCGGCUAACUACGUGCCAGCAGCCGCGGUAAUACGUAGGGUGCGCGCGUUAAUCGGAAUUACUGGGCGUAAAGCGUGCGCAGGCGGUGCUGUAAGACAGGCGUGAAAUCCCCGGGCGCAACCUGGGAAUUGCGCUUGUGACUGCAGUGCUGGAGUACGGCAGAGGGGGAUGGAAUUCCGCGUGUAGCAGUGAAAUGCGUAGAUAUGCGGAGGAACACCGAUGGCGAAGGCAGUCCCCUGGGCCUGUACUGACGCUCAUGCACGAAAGCGUGGGGAGCAAACAGGAUUAGAUACCCCUGUAGUCC
rnacentral:rRNA from 1 species